rnacentral:lncRNA from 1 species
AACACCCUCCAAUACUUUUUAUGAAGCUAAUAUUACCAUGAUAUCAAAACCAAACAAACAUAUUGACAGAAAAAAACUGCAAAUCAAUAUCCCUCAGGAAAACAGACACGAAAAUCCUUACUUCUCCCAUAUGGAUUUUAGAGAAGGAGAAUGAGGCAGAGCUGGAAAAAUGCCCAAGUGUGUGCUUGUCCUCCCCUUUCUCCUGUCUCCAACUCUCUCCCAUCUCCCUGUGGUCCUUCUCUAAUUUGUAAAGAUCUUAAUGAGACCAUUAAUUGUUUUCCAUUAUUUUGCAUGUCAAUGUCCUUUUUAAUGAAAUGAGUUAAUCAAAUUUUUGCUGCAAAUCCCUACUUCCUCAUUUUCCGUGGAUUUAAUGCACACACUUGCUUGGCUUGUUACAUUGUGUUUUUCAGCAAUGUGACUCUGUGUUAGCUCCACGAUGGGGAAGAGGCUAGAGGAAGGCGAAGCUUGACUGUACCUGCAAGAUAACACUUGCUGAAAAGGCACCAUGUCAUGAUCUCAGAAGGCAUGCGUGAUGGACUCUAUUUACCUGGUCCCAUUUCUCUAACCAGUCUCCUUACACUAUGCUUUCCACCUCAUCUCUUACUGUCCUUUUAACCACUGGCAGAGUUCUGCCUCCAGGAGCCAAGCUCAAAUUGCUGUCUCUUAAUCAAACCCAAGAGACUUGGCCAACUUUCACCAUUGUUAGCCAUUCGGCAGGUUUUGGAGAAGGGAGGAGAAAACAGGGUCCAGCGCCUUUAUUGUGUUUUCAUGGGAAGGAAGGGGCCAGGCAGGUGAAGCUGUUAGGGCAUUUGAUGCUUUUCUUUUUUAAAACUUGCAUGCCAACAAGUAUAUUUAGUGCAGAGUUUAACUUUCCAUAAAAAUCUUUGGGUUAAAGAUAUUGGAGAGUAGGAAAAGGGGUGACUGAACCUACUUGGGAUGACACAGAGGGGCAGAGCUGUAUGACUAAAGUUAAAUCAGAAAGUAGAUAUAAAAUGAUAAAUAAUCUUUCCUUGUAAACACAAAUGGCAUUACACUGAAACACGUUGAAAUUAUAUGGUAUUUGCCCAGAAUGUUCUUGAGUUUGAGGAAAUUUACCAGAAUAUCUGUCAAUUACUCCUAACUAAGCCAUGCUAACCAACGCUUUGCCUUGGAAUGUGUAUUCAAGAGAACAAAAACCCAGCAGUCUCUGUGGUGGAAAGCAGCAGUCUCCAGUUAACUUUAGCAGAACCAGGUGCCCAAGUGACUCAGAAG